rnacentral:rRNA from 1 species
UUUUGACCGUGCAAAGGUAGCGCAAUCACUUGUCUCUUAAAUAGAGACCUGUAUGAAUGGCUAGACGAGGGCUUAACUGUCUCCCCCCUCCAGUCAGUGAAAUUGAUCUAUCCGUGCAGAAGCGGGUGUGAUUAUACAAGACGAGAAGACCCUUUGGAGCUUAAGGUACAAAAUUCAACCACGUUAAACGACUCUGUAAAAGGCAGGAACUUAGUGGCACAUGAAGUUUUACCUUCGGUUGGGGCGACCACGGAGGAGAGAAAAGCCUCCGAGUGGACUGGGCCAAGUCCCAAAGCUAAGAGAUACAUCUCUAAGCCGCAGAAUAUCUGACCAAAAUGAUCCGACUAAUAAAGUCGAUCAACGAACCAAGUUACCCUAGGGAUAACAGCGCAAUCCUCUCCCAGAGUCCAUAUCGACAAAGGG